rnacentral:misc_RNA from 1 species
UUAAUAUGAUUUGAUUUCUCAAAAACAGUAAUGUAUCAGACAGCAUGACAUUUCAUCAACAGGUUUUGUUGUUGGCUUCGGACAGCCUUACCCACGUACGGUCACCCAUACGCGGUGCUGCCAAAGCAAAGGUAAAAGUUUCACAGUGGGUGAGAAGCGAACACAUGAAACCCCUCAAGUCCGUGCCUCACUAGGAGUCAGGACGUUCGGGGCCAGGGUGUAAGUUCUGUGGCCUAACUACAAGUUUCGGCCAAAACUAAUUAAUGAUCCUUCCGCAGGUUCACCUACGGAAA